UAGAUUUGAGGGAAAGAUUAAAAACAAGGAGGUCUGGGAACGACUGAAGAAGACAGCAGUGCGGGAAGGAAGUAAUCACCAGAAUCUCAGAGAAGGAUGUUGACAGUGCAGGCCCAGGAUGAAGAAGAGGAGGAAGAACACAUUUAACAAUUUUCUCAUAAACUUUCCAUGUGUUAUAAUAAAAACAAUGAACAUGACUACAUUAAUAUGCUAAAUGUUAUUAAAAGAUUCCAGUAUUUCCUGAAGAAGAUCAGGUGCUGAGAAAGAGCCUUGUUCUACAGCAAAACACUGCAUCAAGCCUCCUGUCCUUCCCUCAGAAGAGCCUGUCUUCUGCUGCUGGGGUAAGAAA